rnacentral:rRNA from 1 species
CCUACGGGGGGUAGCAGUGGGGAAUAUUGCACAAUGGGGGAAACCCUGAUGCAGCGACGCCGCGUGAGUGAAGAAGUAUCUCGGUACGUAAAGCUCUAUCAGCAGGGAAGAAAAUGACGGUACCUGACCAAGAAGCCCCGGCUAACUACGUGCCAGCAGCCGCGGUAAUACGUAGGUGGCAAGCGUUGUCCGGAUUUACUGGGUGUAAAGGGCGUGUAGCCGGGCUGACAAGUCAGAUGUGAAAUUCCGGGGCUCAACCCCGGACCUGCAUUUGAAACUGUUGGUCUUGAGUAUCGGAGAGGCAG